AUUGAACGCUGGCGGCAGGCUUAACACAUGCAAGUCGAGCGGGGUGAUGGUGCUUGCACUAUCACUUAGCGGCGGACGGGUGAGUAAUGCUUAGGAAUCUGCCUAUUAGUGGGGGACAACAUCUCGAAAGGGAUGCUAAUACCGCAUACGUCCUACGGGAGAAAGCAGGGGAUCACUUGUGACCUUGCGCUAAUAGAUGAGCCUAAGUCGGAUUAGCUAGUUGGUGGGGUAAAGGCCUACCAAGGCGACGAUCUGUAGCGGGUCUGAGAGGAUGAUCCGCCACACUGGGACUGAGACACGGCCCAGACUCCUACGGGAGGCAGCAGUGGGGAAUAUUGGACAAUGGGGGGAACCCUGAUCCAGCCAUGCCGCGUGCGUGAAGAAGGCCUUAUGGUUGUAAGGCACUUUAAGCGAGGAGGAGGCUCUUUUGGUUAAUACCCAAGAUGAGUGGACGUUACUCGCAGAAUAAGCACCGGCUAACUCUGUGCCAGCCGCCGCGGUAA
rnacentral:rRNA from 1 species